rnacentral:rRNA from 1 species
AGUGAACGCUGGCGGUAUGCCUAACACAUGCAAGUCGAACGGCAGCACAGUAAGAGCUUGCUCUUACGGGUGGCGCGUGGCGGACGGGUGAGGAAUACAUCGGAAUCUACUUUUUCGUGGGGGAUAACGUAGGGAAACUUACGCUAAUACCGCAUACGACCUACGGGUGAAAGCAGGGGAUCUUCGGACCUUGCGCGAUUGAAUGAGCCGAUGUCGGAUUAGCUAGUUGGCGGGGUAAAGGCCCACCAAGGCGACGAUCCGUAGCUGGUCUGAGAGGAUGAUCAGCCACACUGGAACUGAGACACGGUCCAGACUCCUACGGGAGGCAGCAGUGGGGAAUAUUGGACAAUGGGCGCAAGCCUGAUCCAGCCAUACCGCGUGGGUGAAGAAGGCCUUCGGGUUGUAAAGCCCUUUUGUUGGGAAAGAAAAGCAGCAGGUUAAUACCCCGCUGUUCUGACGGUACCCAAAGAAUAAGCACCGGCUAACUUCGUG